rnacentral:rRNA from 1 species
GACGAACGCUGGCGGCGUGCCUAAUACAUGCAAGUAGGACGCAGUUGCGAACGGGUGAGUAACGCGUAGGUAACUACCUAUUAGAGGGGGGUAACUAUUGGAAACGAUAGCUAAUACCGCAUACUAGUAGAUGGACCUGCGUUGGAUUAGCUAGUAGGUAGGGUAAUGGCCUACCUAGGAAACGAUACAUAGCCGACCCGGGGGGGUUAACGGCCAAACUGGGGAUGGGAAACGGGCCAGACUCCUACGGGAGGGCGCAGUAGGGAAUUUUCGGCAAUUGGGGGAACCCCUACCGAGCAACGCCGCGUGAGUGAAGAAGGUUUUCGGAUCGUAAAGCUCUGUUGUUAAGGAAGCGGUACUUAACCAGAAAGGGACGGCUAACUACGUGCCAGCAGCCGCGGUAAUAC